rnacentral:tRNA from 1 species
GGCGGCGUAGCCAAGCGGUAAGGCAGAGGUCUGCAAAACCUUUAUUCGGCGGUUCGAUCCCGCCCGCCGCCUCCA